CCUGAGGAAUAAGCAUCGGCUAACUCCGUGCCAGCAGCCGCGGUAAGACGGAGGAUGCAAGCGUUAUCCGGAAUUAUUGGGCGUAAAGCGUCCGCAGGUGGCUGUUCAAGUCUGCUGUCAAAUUCCAGGGCUCAACCCUGGUUCGGCAGUGGAAACUGGAUAGCUAGAGUACGGUAGGGGCAGAGGGAAUUCCUGGUGUAGCGGUGAAAUGCGUAGAUAUCAGGAAGAACACCGGUGGCGAAA
rnacentral:rRNA from 1 species